rnacentral:rRNA from 1 species
GAUGAACGCUGGCGGCGUGCCUAACACAUGCAAGUCGAGCGAGAGUUUGAGGAGUAAACCUUCGGGGGAACGAAUCGAAUGAAAGCGGCGGACGGGUGAGUAACGCGUGGGUAACCUGCCCUAUGGAGGGGGAUAACGCAGAGAAAUUUGCGCUAAUACCGCAUAAGCGCACAGUAUCGCAUGAUACGGUGUGAAAAACUCCGGUGCCAUAGGAUGGACCCGCGUCUGAUUAGCUAGUUGGUGAGGUAAAAGCUCACCAAGGCGACGAUCAGUAGCCGACCUGAGAGGGUGAUCGGCCACAUUGGGACUGAGACACGGCCCAAACUCCUACGGGAGGCAGCAGUGGGGGAUAUUGCACAAUGGGCGAAAGCCUGAUGCAGCAACGCCGCGUGAAGGAGGAA